GUCAGGAUUGCCCUAAUGAAUUCGUAUCCUGAUUCUUUAAAGUGACCCAUGGGACUUGGACUUGACUGCAGUCUUCUGAGGACCAGCAACACAACAGGAGACUGUCCUAGACUACUACAUGUGCUCCGGCUCCACAGGACCUUGCAGAAUGAGCCCCACUGUAAGAAGUAAUCUGCAGCUGGCUGAAGGAGUCCCAGACACCACAACCCUAAACCAGCUCAGAUGCAGAAGACAACUAGGAGAUGUAUUAUGGUGUCCUGCAAUGUGAUGUCAGUACUGACACGUGGUUCACAGACACAGAGAAGCUCUACAGCAAUAAAUACCCUGUCACAGGGUAUGAGUAGGACUCCCAGAGAAGAAAUACAUCUGAGUCAUUGUCUGACCCUCUGGAUUCACAGGAGCAGUGGAACAUCUCCAAGCACAGAGGUAAGCACAAGACUCAAGUUUAAGCUCAGGCUCCCUGUGUGGCCUUGGGCAUGUCACUAACUUGUUUUGCACCUCAGGAACUCACCUGGGGAUUAGAAACAAGAAUACCUCCUCGUCUAUCCCUUCCAUUUGUUGGCAAUCCCUUCAGGAUCAGGCUUUCUUUUACUACAUGUGUAUGUAGCCCAUUACAUAACACUUUAUACAGAUGCUGUUUAAGUUACAAUUCAGGACAUCCAUGUGCUCAGAGGGCAAUAUUAUCAUGUCUUGACAUAGAGGAUUUGUGUUACAAGUCAUUUGUCUUGUAGUACUUUUUCAGUCUGACUGGGAUUUGUUCCCUUAAUGAGAAGCAAAGAAAUCUGUGACACAUAGGAGACUGUGUGACAGUCUUUCUGGAUCAGAAGUCCCUGAAAGCACAUUAAAUUAAACAUUUAGAGGUCAUCCUGUCAGGUAAAUGCCUUUUUCUUUGUUCAGUUGCUCCCUACACAUACCUAAUCAUAAUGUGGAUGUCUAAUCAGCAGUGGUCCCAAACAUAAGUGAACAUGGCCCAGCUCACCAAGUCAAAACAGUAAGUGAUCCUUCUGCCCAGUCCGGGGAAUUGCAGAAUGUAGUGACUCUAAAUGGUGAGAUCAAAGACAAUUUUUUU